GAUGAACGCUAGCGGGAGGCUUAAUACAUGCAAGUCGAGGGGUAACAGGGGCUUCGGCCCGCUGACGACCGGCGCACGGGUGAGUAACGCGUACGCAACUUACCUCCAAGCGAGGGAUAGCCCUGGGAAACUGGGAUUAAUACCUCAUGUGAUUAUGAUGCCGCAUGGUGUUAUAAUUAAAGUUCGGGCGCUUGGAGAUGGGCGUGCGUCCUAUUAGCUAGUUGGUGAGGUAACGGCUCACCAAGGCGACGAUAGGUAGGGGCGUGAGAGCGUGGCCCCCACCACGGUACGUGAGACGACGGACCCGGACCU
rnacentral:rRNA from 1 species